rnacentral:lncRNA from 1 species
CCCGCGCCUCGGUCCCCGGGCUACGCCCAUGCCCGGCCCGCCGGAUCGCCGCCACCACCACGCGGGGACCCAACUCUGGCCGUGCGCGCAGGUGGGGGCGCUGAGAGCCGGGAAACGGAGCCGCGCCCGGCCUGGGCCGCACACAACAGGGUCCAGCCCUGGGCAAGGCGUCCACCCACUGCGGCUGCAGUUCCUCACUCGACCUUGACCGCCUCCCACAGCAGCCGCCUGCUCCCACCCCCACCAUCGCCUCGGCCACUCCCGCGCCAGAGAAGACACUUCAGACUCCGUAGCUGCUCUUCUGCAAUUCGGUGUUUUAUUCUUUCCAAAUCUCAGGCUUAUGCACAAGAUGGAAGAGCACUGUUAAAAU